CGGACGGGUGAGUAACACGCGGAUAACCUACCUAUAAGACUGGGAUAACUUCGGGAAACCGGAGCUAAUACCGGAUAAUAUAUUGAACCGCAUGGUUCAAUAGUGAAAGACGGUUUUGCUGUCACUUAUAGAUGGAUCCGCGCCGCAUUAGCUAGUUGGUAAGGUAACGGCUUACCAAGGCAACGAUGCGUAGCCGACCUGAGAGGGUGAUCGGCCACACUGGAACUGAGACACGUCCAGACUCCUACGGGAGGCAGCAGAU
rnacentral:rRNA from 1 species